rnacentral:rRNA from 1 species
AUUGAACGCUGGCGGCAGGCUUAACACAUGCAAGUCGAGCGGAGAUGAGGUGCUUGCACCUUAUCUUAGCGGCGGACGGGUGAGUAAUGCUUAGGAAUCUGCCUAUUAGUGGGGGACAACAUUCCGAAAGGAAUGCUAAUACCGCGUACGUCCUACGGGAGAAAGCAGGGGAUCUUCGGACCUUGCGCUAAUAGAUGAGCCUAAGUCGGAUUAGCUAGUUGGUGGGGUAAAGGCCUACCAAGGCGACGAUCUGUAGCGGGUCUGAGAGGAUGAUCCGCCACACUGGGACUGAGACACGGCCCAGACUCCUACGGGAGGCAGCAGUGGGGAGUAUUGGACAGUGGGGGGAACCCUGAUCCAGCCAUGCCGCGUGUGUGAAGAAGGCCUUAUGGUUGUAAAGCACUUUAAGCGAGGAGGAGGCUACUGAGACUAAUACUCUUGGAUAGUGGACGUUACUCGCAGAAUAAGCACCGGCUAACUCUGUGCCAGCCGCCGCGGUAAUAC